rnacentral:rRNA from 1 species
CCGCAAGGUUAAAACUCAAAUGAAUUGACGGGGGCCCGCACAGCGGUGGAGCAUGUGGUUUAAUUCGAUGCAACGCGAAGAACCUACCUGGCCUUGACAUCCACGGAAUUUGGCAGAGAUGCCUUAGUGCCUUCGGGAACCGUGAGACAGGUGCUGCAUGGCUGUCGUCAGCUCGUGUUGUGAAAUGUUGGGUUAAGUCCCGCAACGAGCGCAACCCUUAUCCUUUGUUGCCAGCGAUACGGUCGGGAACUCAAAGGAGACUGCCGGUGAUAAACCGGAGGAAGGUGGGGAUGACGUCAAGUCAUCAUGGCCCUUACGGCCAGGGCUACACACGUGCUACAAUGGCGCAUACAAAGAGAAGCGACCUCGCGAGAGCAAGCGGACCUCAUAAAGUGCGUCGUAGUCCGGAUCGGAGUCUGCAACUCGACUCCGUGAAGUCGGAAUCGCUAGUAAUCGUAGAUCAGAAUGCUACGGUGAAUACGUUCCCGGGCCUUGUACACACCGCCCGUCACACCAUGGGAGUGGGUUGCAAAAGAAGUAGGUAGCUUAACCUUCGGGAGGGCGCUUACCACUUUGUGAUUCAUGACUGGGGUGAAGUCGUAACAAGGUAACCAAGGGCGAAUUCCAG